rnacentral:rRNA from 1 species
UACGUAGGGGGCAAGCGUUGUCCGGAUUAUUGGGCGUAAAGAGCGUGUAGGCGGCCAAGCAGGUCCGCUGUGAAAACUCGAGGCUCAACCUCGAGACGUCGGUGGAAACCGUUUGGCUAGAGUCCGGAAGAGGAGAGUGGAAUUCCCGGUGUAGCGGUGAAAUGCGCAGAUAUCGGGGAAGAACACCCGGUGGCGAAGGCGGCUCUCUGGGACGGUACUGACGCUGAGACGCGAAAACGUGGGGAGCAAACACGG